rnacentral:rRNA from 1 species
GUCGAACGAUCUCAUCCUUCGGGAGAUUACUAUUGGCGAACGGGUGCGUAUCACGUGACUCAUCUUCCCCGAAGACCUGGGAUAUCAUCGGGAAACCGCUGCUAAUACCGGAUACCUUCGCCGGUCCACAUGGACCGGGGAAGAAAUGGAUUCCGCUUCGGGACGGGCUCGCGGCCUAUCAGCUAGUUGGUGGGGUAACGGCUCACCAAGGCAACGACGGGUAGCUGGUCUGAUAGGACGAUCAGCCUCUCUGGGACUGAUACACGGUCCAUACUCCUACGGGAGGCAUCAGUGGGGAAUCUUGCGCAAUGGGCGAAAGCCUGACGCAUCAUCGCCGCGUGAGGGAUGAUGGUCUUCGGAUUGUAAACCUCUUUCGAUCAGGGACGAUAAUGACGGUACCUGCAUAAGAAGAUCCGGCCAACUACGUGCCAGCAGCCGCGGUAAU